AUUGAUGCAACUUAUCAAUCA
rnacentral:siRNA from 1 species